ACCAUUCUAUAACAGUAAAAAGUCAAUCCUAUUUAUUUUAAAGAGAAAUCCUGGAAAGGACAAUCUGUGGGGAAGAAACAACCUUAACUACGAAAAUAACAGAUUCCGGCACAAUAACAGGCCCGCCGAAGCUGUUUUGAGUAACUGCAUUCAAUUCAUCGACGGUUUAGUUGAAAAGCAUUGAUUUAAUGUUGGUAAUGCCCAUAUAAAUACAUAUAUGAAUUUGAAGAAAGCCAUUUGGCUCUCCAGCCAGGCGUAUAGAUUCCUGAACAAUGUACUGAUGGGCCAGUCCCAGAAGAUAUGCAGUGAUCAACACAGAAAACGAGUUUCUGAAAUUCUGGUGACGAACUGUCAGCAGCUGGAACGUCUGGCCUUUGGCGUAGAGCUCCUUGACUCCACGGUGCCCUAUGAGCUGGUCUGCCAGCUACCCAAUCUUCAGCAUUAACAGGUGUGGCAUGAUGGUUCCUUAUGCGAAUCGUUUAUCGAGGGAUUGAUCAACAAACAGGGUUCUCCUUUGGAAAGUCUUAUCCUGAAAGGUCACGUUUUGAAGGAGGCACAGGUUCAGCAUCUUUGCAAUAUAUCUACAGUCAAGGAAUUGGAUAUAUUCUGCGAUACCCUGCCCUUCGCGGACUUAUUGAAGCUGAAGAACCUUAUCUACUUCCAUAUGUCCAGCCCCAAGACAGAGGACCAACUUCUGCACUUCCUGGAUGCGCUUCCUCGAGUAAAAGUUCACAAUUUACAAUUUUGCCCAGAGUUAUACGCCCCCUUUUGACUAGUAUUCGGAACUGGCUGAACGAACAGAGAAAACAGCGCGGGAGGAUCAAAAUCUAUUUCGGAUUUAGAGCUAAACCCGUUAUUUCGUAUGCUAAUCUUUUUGUUAAAAUCAUAGAGGGUCGUUUAGGUCCCGUAUUAAUAAACAAAGAGCUUAAAAUCCAAUAAAUGUUGCCAAAACGCUUA
rnacentral:misc_RNA from 1 species